GUGGGCAAGCAAGAAAUAAGCGGGGCUGGAAGCCAUCAAAGGCAGAGAGGACCUUGGCUCCAGAUCCCAAGGAGCUCAGUAAGCCAGAGGCUGGAAGUCAGUCUCAAGCAGGCCAAGAAGGAGUUAAUCUCCAAGGAGAAUGAGGGCUUCUCCCAGACUGGAGGCCGAUGCCCAGCUUUGCUGCUGCCAACUCUGGGAAGAAGUCCUGGGAUCUGUAGUUUGUGUCACCACCCACCUCUGGCCUGCCUGUUUAUCAACACAGUCUUGGAGACUACAGUUCCCAGAAACCUGCAGAGGCCAGGCUUUGGGGGAAGGGGUGGGGUGUGAGGCUUGGUGGCAGCAGGAGGGAGAGGGAGGAGGUGGGGAGAGAAAACCCAAUUCACCCCCUUCCUUUUUAAUUCUUUCUCCUGGUGUGUCUGCUCCACCGCCCGAGCUAAUCCCCCAAAUCCGGUCUUCUAAGCCGCAGCUGCUUCCCUUCGCAGUGAUGAAUGGCUCGGGGAGGGAAGAUCAUCUCAGACCUGAGCUGGGCAAAGGCCAGAGAGGAGGAUGGGGAAGAAAUCUGGGCCACCAGCUUGCAGUCCCAUGCAGCCAACUGUGA
rnacentral:lncRNA from 12 species